GGUCGGGUGGUCUAAUGGUAUGAUAGUCUCUGCUCUUCCACCUUAGUCGCCAGGUGGGCGGCCUGGGACUUCACGUAAGUCCUGGGGGGGUGCGGGUGCCACGCCAAUUCCUGUGGGGGCAAACACGAGACUGGUCUGGGUUCGAAUCCCAGUCCGACCA